rnacentral:lncRNA from 1 species
GUUUUGACGGACGGUGAAAGGCGAUUGAAGGUGAUGAAGCUAGAGGCGACGAUGGAGUGAGAGGGUCGAUUUUGGGUUUGAGGUUUUACGGCGAUGUGUGGCGGCGAGGUAAGCGAUUUACACGGAGGUGGAGCGGAGGUUGCGGUUGCUUGACGGUAGUGUGGAUAGGCGGAGGGUUUUGAUGGUGAGUGGUGUGGUGGCUGAGGUUUUGAAGAUGUACUCGUAAGGAGGACGACGGUGGUUUUAAUGGAGGUGACGGCGGUGUGGAGUUAAGGGUUUUGAAGGUAGUGGAGACGGAAGGAUUCGCCGGCGAAUUUGUGUGAAGAUGAUGGGAACGGCGGCGAGGGUUUUGAAGAGAGAUUUGGGGUUUUGGUGGUUGUUUAAUGGUGGUGUUGGUGGAUGAGUGAAUCGAUGGAGGUGGUGAUUUGAAGCGAUGAAGCUGGAGGCGACGAUGGAGAAUGUGUGAUUUUGACGGUUGGUUGAAGAGAUGGAGAGGAAAUUUCCGAGAGUGAGAGGAUGGUGAGGUAGCGGCGGAUAGGGUUUUGUGAGAUAUCUGAGAGAGUGAGUGAGGAGAGUGAGAGAUGGAAGGGAGCGUUUUUGUGCUGAGAUUUUUUCUGAGCAAAAUGAGAGUCAGUACUGUAGUGAGUAGUGAGUGGUUUUUUGUAUAUAUUUUCUUUUUGUCGUUUGUGAGGAGAGGAUGGAGAGAGUAAGUGGAGCGUGAGUGGAGCAGGGAAUGGUUACUGAGUGGGGAGAGAGUGGAGUGAAGAGAGUCUUUUGUUUUUGUUUUUUUUUUGUCGUUUGUGGGAAAGCAAAGAGAGAGAAGAUGGACUGAAUAGUGAAUUGAAUAGUGAAUGAGGGAGUUUGUUAGGAUUUGAGAGAGAUAGUGGGGAGUAGCUGGCAGACCGUUGGGAACGUGAGUGGAUUGGGAGUGGAUUCUGAAUUUUGUUUUUUUUGCGGAUUGGGUAUCCAAUGUAAUAUAUAUAUUUAUCUUGUACUUACUAUUUAUUUAAGAAAAUAAAAUCAACAACAAAAAAAAUCUAACUAAUAUAAAAAAAACUAACUAAUAUUAAAAAACAAAUAUUAUUCUAAUUUCUUUUANCUAAUAAGAUAUUAUUCUAAUUUCUUUUUUAAAUAUCAAAAAUAUUGACCAAUUAAAAAUCGGUACAAAUUUAAUUUCGGAAAAUUAAACCAAUCACACUAAAUUUGUCAGCACACAACCUAUUUUUAAAAAAAUACAGUCUUUCCUCAAUUUUAACGAUUCAACAUUUUUUGAUUCUCAAUAAAUUCAUUUUGCAGACUUCUUAGGUGUUUUCAUGAUGCAAAUGUAUGUCAUGUUAUGCAUAUGAUGCUAAAUUAAAAAGAAAUAAAUUCUACGAAAUCUAAAUGCCGGACAAAUUGGGGUAGAAGCAUCACCCAUGCAGCUAGAGGACGAGAAGUGAAGCCAGUUGUGUGGUAAAGAGUUAGCUUGGUGAAGGUAGCUUGGGCGAGGCCAGCUGGUAGAAAACUAACUUGGGUGAGAGUCAGAUGAGGGAUUUGUUUUGUCUAUAUCACUUGAGGAUUUUUUAGGGCCGAAAUUCUUUAAGUGGAUGAGGUUGUACACCUAUUUAUUGAAUAUUAUAUUAAUAAUUAUAAUUUUAUGUGUGUACUAAUUUACUAUUUGUUUGAUAAUUGAGAUGUGUUAGGCGCAACAAAUUGGUGGGAUUAUUGCGUAGAAGAAUAUGGAGAAGUGUUAUGGGUGGUGAUUUAGUUUAUAAUUUUUAAUUAAUUAAAAAAUAUUUUAGUGUUUUAUUUAAUAAAUAAAUAAAAAGGAAUUAAUUUUGGGAUGGAAGUGCGAAUUGUGAUCAAUUAAAUAUAAUGUAGUUUAAUAUAAGUUGUGCCUUAAUGAAUUUAGAAAGAUAGAUUAGGUUUUAAUUUAAGGAGGAGAGAGUGAAGGAUUUUUUUACGGUAGGUGAGAGUUUUUGGAAUGAAGGAAAAGAGGCAAGAGAGAAGAAGAAAUGAAAACCUCGUGAGAGCUCUAGGGGAGAAUAAACCAAACUUGGAUUUAUGUUGAAAUCCACACUCUUAUGGAGAAUUUAUAUCAUCUUGCGUGAAACAGAUUAUUAUCACCACACAAUGACAAUGAAAGAACAUAAUUUGAGAAGAAAGAAGAGCGAUGGAGAAGAAGAAUAUUUUCUGCAAAGUUUCUUUAUGCCCGCAACCAGUGGAACAUUCUUUUAUUCACUUUGCAACUACAAAAUUUUGUGAUACAAUGAUGAAUACAAUAUUAUCGAACUAGACUAGUUACUCCCUCUAUUUAUAGAUUUAGUUAACUUACUCAUAGAUCAAGCCCAAAACUAUAAAGUCUGAGAUAGUUACAACACUAAAAAUAAGGCCUACGUCGAAAUCCUGUGAUGAGCAAAUGCUUCGAUCUUGACACAUACACUCGCACAUAGGUGAUUCUCACUUCUUUUUUUUCGGCAACCUGCUUCGAACAAGAGAUUACAAUUAACACACCACCUAAUUCAUUAUGCAUAGCAUCUACAUUCAUCAUAACUCUUAGUCUUCUGGCACUUUGACCCACAACUCCCUUCGUCAUGAUGUUUGCUAUCGUGAUCUCUUCAUGUAGUUCUCCAUAUUCAUCUUCCCCUCUCUUGCUCUCGAAGAUAAUGGACUCAUUUGAUAUGUUGCUCAUCGACAUGUGCUAUCCGGAUUCUUAGCUAGAUGAUAGCUGACAUUGUUGAUCGAUCUUCAUGGUAUUUCUCCAUGCUCUUCUGCUAUAUCCUUUUGACCAGAUCAGCAUCACGUUGCUUGACAUGCACAAAGAAGAGAACAUCUAUAUAUUCUACUUAGCGACGACUAAUGUCACACUGGCUCCUUUCUCAACUCAAGCAAUUGUGCACCACCUAGCAUAAACACAAGCAACUGUGGAUUUUCGUCCUCAUCACACUACACCUACUUGAGUCAGUGUAUACCCAUAUAGUUUGCAUUGUUUUCCUUAUCAGUUGCAUGAAACAAAAUGCCAUAGUGAGAAUCCUUUCAGAUACCUUAGUAUCUCUUCUCGCUUUAGUGAUACCGUUUGGUGAUGCAGUGAAUUAUCACCAUACUCACUAUAUGCUAUCUAGGCCUUGUGUGAGAAUGAUAUCGAGUGCCCAAUAAAGUCUUCUAUAUUGAUUGGGUCGACAUCAUAUUCAUCUGGUCUUUCAACAAUUGUAAUCUGGGCUCAACUAGAGGUCAAAGUUGGGUUAUAAUCUUGCAUCUAAAAUCUCUGGAGUAUUUCGCCGCAUACCUUCUGUGAGCUCAUCAAACCUCUUCACUCUUGAGAUUCGAUUCCAAGGAAUAUGAAUGUCACCCAAAUCUGACAUAUUUGAUUCCUGUUGAAUCACCUUUGAAGUUUUCGAUAUCUUUCUUGAGCUACCUGUUAUCAACAACGUACAUCGAUAUAGAGACAUAGUAUAGCAAUUCACUCUGUUUUUUUACAUAUUACUGCUUGUUCAGUUUUCACUUUACAAAUUCCUUUCCUUAGGAAGCCAUCUAUUAUCUUGUUCAAGUCUUGUGAGCUGUUUAAUGCCGUACAAGCGGCUUUAUGCAGCAUGUACACCUUUCUUUCUUCGCCUUGUUUCACAACCCAGCUGGUUGUGCACCAUAAACUUCUCUCUAAGGGUCCAUUAAAGGAUGCACAUUUCACAUCCAUAUGACACAUCUGCCAGUUGUUCAUGUUGGUUAAGCCACAACCAAACCUGAUUGUUUCGAUCUAGCAAGAGGUGCAAAACUUCGUCGAAGUCGAUCCUUUCUUUUGAAAAAUUUUCUCCAAAAGUUCCGCCUAUGUGUCAAGUCACAAUUUCCUUGGGAUUCACACCUUCACCUUGUAUACCCACUUCACAUCGAUUAUCCUUCUUGUUGGGGAAUUUCAUACAAGUGUGACCAGUGUUGUUGAUUCAAUUGAUCGCGGUUCUUCGUUCAUUCUUUCACCCAUGUCGAUCUGUCAGUCCUCAGUUAGACAUUGACUGGGUCACAUCUGCGUGAAAUGCAUAUGUAACAACUCACCUCUUCGAUGAUCCAUUAUCAGUCUAAUGUAUCACACAUUCUCUACACCUUGCAGGCACGUGUUCUGUUCUUUGAGUCUGCUUUAGGCACUGUUUACCUUGACUUCUUGUCAAGACUUCUUUUCGAUCUCACUUAGCUGCAUGCUUCAUCGUAAGAUUCUCCACUGAAUCCUUCUAAUAUUCUCAAUCAAUCCCUUCCUAUAGAUGCAUAUAUGUCAUAUCUCCCUACUGUCACACUUGCUGCCACUGUGUCGAAUAACGGUGUAUUCUCGUCGAAUGAAUAUACCUAUCAGAAUUCACUGAUUGACUCGUCUAAUAAGUUUUCUUCACAACAACUGAUCCGGGCACGUUGUUAAUGUGCUAGAUCGCAACCGUCUCAAGAUGAUUCAAGCUAGACUUGUACAUCACACAACAUUCUUAUGAGACGGUAUUCUCUCUUAGCCUUUCAGUCGGAAUAUCUUGUUCAGGAUACUAUGUUCUGCAGCUAGAAUAACUUUCCCAUAAUUCUUUACGGUAUGAUGAUUGCCUGUCUCAAACAUACUUCUAACCAUAUUCACAUCGAUGGUUCUAUUUCUGUUAAGCGAUCUCAUUCAUGCUGUGAGUUGUAGGGUGACACCACCUCUAUGCAGCAUCUCGCUGUCUUACAUGAUAUGCUGUAAAGGUAUUCAGACAAUUCUCCACCACCAUCAGUCCUUGCCAGAAUCUUGUUCCUAUAUAAUGUUUCUUUGUCUUUUCGACCAUAAUUUAAACUUCGCAUAGUACAUCGAUCAUCUUCAGUUCUGUCUGAUAGUAUCAUCCAUGUUUUUGAUUGACAUCAUCAUAUCAUGAAUGUGACAAAGUAUUUAUUACCCACACAUGAAAUCGCUACCUGCGAUAUGACAUAUACAUCAAGAGUAUAUGCUUCAAGAAUGCUCUGUAUCGACUGAUUCCUGCAUCCUUAUUGAAGUGUUCUUAUGUCUGCUUCCGCCUGCAUUACAUGUCUACACACUUCUGUUUGAUGUCGGUAUUUUAUCUGAAACCAUAUUUUUACCUGUGAAUUUCUGAUGUCUUUUGAAAUGAUAUGACUAAGGUCUAAUUCCUUAUAUUCGAUCCUUUUGUUUGAAGCUCACUCUGUCUUUUCGAAGUGCUAUUAUGCUCCCAUCAAUUAUAGCUCAAUGCUUGAAGGUUCUUAUUCUAAGACAUUAGCGGCCUUCAAGGAUCAACGUUCCAGUUAGUAACUUAUCAUCUUGUCUUUGAUCUCGACACCUUUAUGUCUUUUCGACUAACUGCCUUACUGUAGAAAUAAUUGCUUAUCAGUUGGUAUGUAUACAACACAUUUGAAAUUACUGAUGCAGUCUUGCAGUUUCUUCAAUAAUCGCACAUCACCAACAUCUUCAUACGCUAAGGGUUGUCAUUUGCAGAUUUACAGCGUUCUUCAUUCUGAUGCUUUAUCGUUGACAAACCAAUAUUUCCUUCUCAGACUGUGUGUAAAGCAUCCUGAGUCAGAGUGGACUGUCUUGAAAUCCGCCAUCAUCUCCCCCGUGUAACCAGUAAGCAACCUUAUUUUCUUUGCUUUUCUCAUCUUUGCAUAAUUUCUUGAUUCUUCUGUCUUCUGGAAAAUCACUGAAUAGUACCAUGCUUACUAGAUUGUAAAUUGAAAUAUGACUCUUUCUGGCUUCUUGACAUCACCUCUUCCGUCUACUGCCACAACCACCUCUUUGGUUGCUUGGUUCUAGGGUCUUCUUCUGAUGCUACCAGUUUCGCUUCUUGUUGUUCGAGCCCAGUCGAAUGUUGUGCCUUCUAUCCUUUCUUUCCUCAACUUUCCUUUGCAUUUCCUUCUUUGAUAUUGCGCCUGCAAGCCAUAUCACUCUUUGACUUUCCUGAACUUUUUCAGUCACAUUCUUGUGUUCAUGAGGAUUCAAGAUGCCCCUUAGAAGCUGUCUUCUUUGUCAGCAUUUUACAAAUUUUUCAAUCUUCGUAUGGCUACUUAUCACAUGAUAGGUCAGAAUUGGAGCCAACGACCAUCAAGAUCUUUCCAACAACCGAGCUUUAAUGUCAACACUUCUCCACAAUGACCUUGAUUUCAAUUCACCAUUUCGAUAAACCUACAGGUGAAAAAUCAGUUAUGUCUUUCAUUGUCUGUCGCAUCAUAAGCAAUUCAUACGUCCUUUUGUGAGUCUUGUACAUUACCUCCUUUCAACCUGUCCCGCCUCAAACACUUCUCCAGAAUAUUAACCAUGCUUCCUUUGCGUGACUCUGACAUGCACUAACCUUGUUCAAUUAUUCGAUCAGACAGCAUUGCUUGCAUUAUAAAGAGGAUUUGUUAAUAUUUCUUCUAAAACAAUUUUCUUUAUGGAAGUAGCCUUUCUGAUCUGUUGGACUUUCUGCAAGAGUUGUUACUGCUUUGUUUUCAUAGAUCCCAAGAGAUCCUUUGAUAAAAUAAACAACCUUUAUCUGCUUGACACCAAUUCUCAUAUUGUUGUUCUUGAGAAUCAGAAGAUUCGAUGGAAAAUGCCAUUUGAUAUUAUUGCCAUUGUAGAUUUCUUUACAAAAAUCGCUUCAACAACAAACGGAAAGCUCUUGGAUUACCCAGAUGUUGGAAAUCCACACAACGCUAUGCGAGAAUUCUAAUCCAUCUUACCAUGAGACCAUUUGUUAUCACGCAGCACAUGACAAUGCAAGAGCCAGAAAGCAAUUGAGAAAGAGAAAGAAAAGACGAUGGAAGAAGAAGAAUUAUUUUUCAAUUAGAGUUUCUCUCUGCCAGACUUGUGAAAACUCUUUAUUCACUACUUGCAAACUACAAAAUUCUAUGAAUACAACAUUCAACAGAUAAGGUCUAUACUCCUCGCUACUUUAUAGAUUUAGACUUAACUUAUACUCUUAAGUCAAGCCCGUACAAUUAUAAAAGCCAAAGCUAAUUAGCACUCUAAAAUAGCGCAAGUCGAAAUCUGAUGUGAAACACAUGCUUAGACACUUCGAACACCCACUAGUACAACUUUGACAUCUCUCAGACAUUUUAGGUGUUUAUUCAUGAUGCAAAUGUAUGUCAUGUUAUGCAUAUGAUGCUAAAAUUAAAAAAUGAAAUAAAUUCUACGAAAAUCUAAAUAUGCCCGGACAAAAUUGGGGUACGACAGCAUCACCCAUGCAGAUAGAGGACCGAGAAGUGAAGCAGUUGUGUGGUAAAGAGAUUAGCUUGGUGAAGGUAGCUUGGGGAGGACCAGCUGGUAGAAACAUAACUUGGGAGCUUGAGAGUCAGAUGAGGGAUUUGUAUCUUAGUCUAUUCACUUGAGGUAAUUUUUUAGGGCGAAAAUUCUUUAAGUGGAUGAGAGUUGUAACACCCUAUUUUUCUAGAAAUUAUUUAUAUUAAUUAAUUAUAAUUUUAUGUGUGUAUCUAAUUAUUAUUUGUGUGAUAAUUGAGAUGUGUUAGGGCAACAAGAGUGGGUGACUAUUGGGUAGAGAGUAUGGAGAGUGAUUAGAGGUUGGUAGAUUUAUUUAUAAUUAUUUAAUUAAUUAAAAAAAUAUUUUAGUGUUAUUAUUUAAAUAAAUAAAUAAAAAGGAAAUAAUAAUUUUGGGAUGGAAAGUGCGAAUUGUGAUCAAUUAAAAUAAAUAAUGUAAGUUAAUAAUAAGUUGUGCCUUAAUGGAAUAUUAGAAAGAUAGAAAUUAGGUUUUUAAUUUAAGAGGAGAGAAGUGAAGGAAUUUUUUUACGGUAGGUGAAGUUUUUGGAAUUGAAGGAAAAGAGGCAAGAGAAGAGAAAAGAAAUGAAAACCUCGUGAGAGCUCUAGGGAAGAGAAUAACCAAAAACUUGGAUUUUGUUGGAAAUCCACCACAAUCUAUGGAGAAUUUAUAUCAAUCUUGAUGAACAAGAUUAUUAUCACCCACACAAUGACAAUGAAAAGAACAUAAUAAUUGAGAAAGAAAAGAAAGAGCGAUGGAGAAGAAGAAUAUUUUCUGCAAAGUUUCUUUAUGCCCGCAACCAGUGGAAAACUUCUUUAUUCACUUUGCAACUACAAAAUUUUGUGAAUACAAUGUUAUGAAUACAAUAUUACAAGAACUAGAGUUACUCCCUCUAUUUAUAGAUUUAGGUUAACUUACUCCAUAAGUCAAAGCCCAAAACUAUAAAAGUCUGAGAUAGUUAACACUACUAAAAAUAGGCCUAAGUCGAAAUCCUGUGUGAAGCAACAUGCUUCGAUACUUCGACACACUAGUACAACUCGACACACUAGGUGAUUCGUCACUUCCUUGCUUUUUUCGAGCAACCUGCUUCGACACAAGGAAUUACAAUUCAACACACCACCUAAUUCAUUAUGCCUAAGCUAUCUACAUUCAUCAUAACUCUUAGUCUUCUGAGCACUUUGACCCACACUCCCUUCGUCAUGAUGUUUGCAAUCUGACUCUCAGUUCUGUAGUGUUCCAUAUUCAUCUUCCCAUCUUCUACUUGCUCUCGAAGAUAAUGGAACCUCAUUUUGAUAUGCUUGCUUCGACCAUGUGCUAUCGGAUUCUUAGCUAGAUUGAUAGCUGACAUGUUGUCGAUCUUCAUGGUAAUUUCUCCAUGACUCUUCGCUAUUAUCUCUUUGACCAGAUUCAGCAUCCACGUUGCUUGACAUGCACAAAGAGAAACAUCUAUAUAUUCUACUUAGCACGACAAUAAUGUCACUACUGGCUCCUUUCUCGAACUCCAAGCAAUUGGUGCACCACCUAGCAUAAACACAUAGCCAACUGUGGAUUUUCGAUCCUCAUCAUCACUACACCUACUUGAGUCAGUGUAUCCCAUUAGUUUGCAUUGUUUUCCUUCAUCAGUUGCAUGAAACAAAAUGCCAUAGUUGAGAAUUCCUUUCAGAUACCUUAGUAUCCUCUUCGCCGCUUCUAGAUGUGAUACCUUUGGCUUAUGCAUGAAUCUACUCACCAUACCUACACUAUAUGCUAAGUCAGGCCUUGUGUGAUAAAUGUAUCGAAGUGACCCAAUAAGUCUUCUAUAUUGGAUUGGGUCGACAUCAUAUUCAUCUGAGUCUUUCAACAAUUGUAAUCUGGGCUCAACUAGAGUCAAAGUUGGGUUAUAAUCUUGCAUCUAAAAUCUCUUGAGUAUUUCGCCUGCAUACCUUCUUGAUGCAUCAUCAAACCUCUAUCACUCUUGUAGAAUUCGAUUCCAAGGAAAUAUGAAAUGUCACCCAAAUCUGACAUUUUGAAUUCCUUGUUGAGAUCACCUUUGAAGUCUUCGAUAUCUUUCUUGCAGCUACCUGUUAUCAACAAGUCAUCGAUAUAGAGACAUAGUAUAAGCAAUUCACUCUUGUUUCUUCUUACAUAUACUCCUUGUUCAGUUUUUCACUUUACAAAUUCCUUCUCCCUUAGGAAGCCAUCUAUCUUCUUGUUCCAAGCUCUUGGAGCUUGUUUAAGCCCGUACAGGGCUUUAUGCAGCAUGUACACCUUUCUUUCUUCGCCUUGUUUCACAAACCCAGCUGGUUGUGCACCAUAAACUUCUUCUUCUAAGGGUCCAUUAAGGAAUGCACAUUUCACAUCCAUAUGACACAUCUGCCAGUUGUUCAUGUUUGUUAGACCACAACCAACCUGAUUGUUUCGAUCCUAGCAAGAGGUGCAAAAACUUCGUCGAAGUCGAUUCCUUCUUUUUGAAGAAAUAUUUUCUCCAAAAGUCUCGCCUUGUGUCAAGUCACUUCUCCUUUGGGAUUCAACUUCACCUUGUAUACCCACUUCACAUCGAUUUCCUUCUUGUCUUGGGGCAAUUCAACAAGUGACCAAGUGUUGUUGACUUCAAUUGACUUCGGUUCUUCGUUCAUUUCUUUCACCCACUUCGAAUCUUUCAGUGCCUCAGUUGCAUUGACUGGUUCAACAUCUGCGUGGAAAGCAUAAUGUAACAACUCACCUCUUCAUUGACCAUAUCAUCUAAUGUAAUCACACAUUCUUGCAACCUUGCAGGCACGUGUCUUGUUCUUUGAGGUCUGCUUAGGCCUGUUUCACCUCUGACUUCUUGUCGAACUUCUCUUUCGACUUCACUAGCUGGUUCAUCAUGUAAGAUUCUCACUGAAUCCUUCUUAAUAUUCUCAAUCCAAUCCCAUUCCUUAAGCUCAUAUAUGAUCAUAUCCCUACUGAUCACCACUUGCUUGCUCACUGGAUCGAAUAACUUGUAUUCUCCAGUCGAAUGAUAUCCUAUCAGAAUCAUCUGACUUGACUUGUCAUCAAGUUUUCUUCACAACUGAUCCGGCACGUGUCUAUGUGCUAUAGAUCCAAACACCUUCAGAUGAUUCAAGCUAGGCUUUACACCAGACCAACAUUCUUAUGACGUGAUUCCUUUUAGCUUCUUCGUCGGACAUCUGUUCAGGAUAUAUGUUGCAGUCGACAUAACUUCUCCCCAUAAUUCUUUAGGUAGAUGCUUGCCUCUCAACAUACUUCUAACCAUAUUCAUGAUGGUUCUAUUCUUCCUUUAUGCGACUCCAUUCUGCUGUGGAGUGUAGGGUGACACCACCUCAUGCACAAUCCCUUCUUUCACACAUAAUGCGUCAAAGUAUUUCGACACAUAUUCUCCACCACCAUCAGUCCUCAGAAUCUUGAUCUUUAAAUUGUUUUGUCUUUCGACCAUAGAUUUAAACUUGGCAAAUACCUCGAUCACUUCACGUUUCUUCUUGAUCAAGUAAGUCCAUAGUUUUUGAUUGAAAUCAUCUAUGAAUGUGACAAAGUAUUUAUUACCUCCAAUCGAAUCCACCUGGAUAGGACCAUAUACAUCAGAGUAUAUGACUUCAAGAAUUGCCUUCGACCUAUUUCCUGCAUCCUUAUUGAAGUUGUUCUUAUGUUGCUUCGCCUGCAUACAUUCUUCACACACUUCGUUUGGAAUGUCGAUUUUUAGUAAUCCUGAAACCAUAUUUCUUCUCUUGAAAUUUCUGAUGUCUUUGAAAUUGAUAUGACUAAGUCUAUAAUUCCAUAUCCAUUCAUCUUUGCUGGCUGCUGUUGCAAGGUACUUAUGCUCCAUCACAUUUAGCUCAAUCUUGAAGGUUCUAUUCUAAGACAUUAGGGCCUUCAAGAUCAACCUUCCAUUUGAGUCGAGAACUCUCAUCAUCUUGUCUUUGAUCGACACCUUGUAGUUCUUUUCGACUAACUGCCAUAUACUGAGAAAAUUGCUUUUCAUGCUUGGUAUGUACAACACAUUUGAAAUUACUGACCUCUUGCCAUCUUUCCUCAUAAUCAGAACAUCACCAACAUCUUCAACUGCUAGAGUGUUGUCAUUUGCAAAUUUCACCAUGUUCUUCAUUGAGGCCUUUAUGUUGACAAACCAAUAUUUCCUUCCAGACAUGUGUGAUAAGCAUCCUGAGUCCAAGUACCACUGGUCCUUGAAUCUCGCUUCAUCUCUCGUUGUAACCAUAAGCAACAUCUAUUAUUCUUCAUGUUUCUCCAUCUUUGCAUAAAUUUCUUGAUUCUUCUGCUUUUCUGGAAAAUCACUAGAAUAGUUACCAUGCUUCUAACAAUUGUAAAAUUGAAUGUGACUCUUAUCUGGCUUUUGACCAUCACCUCUUCCUCUACCUGCAACACCACCUCUUUGGUUGCCUUGGUUCUAGGGUCUUCUCUGAUCCUACCAGUUUCCUUCUUGUUGAUUUCGACCAGUCGAAUUGUUGUAGCCUCUUCUACCUUUGUUUCCAUUCCAACUUCCUUUGCAUUUCCUUUCUUUUGAUGAUUGCGCCUGCAAAGCCAUAUCACUCUUUGACUUUCCUGUAACUCUUUUAGUCAUUCUUUGUUCAUGAGAUUCAAGUGCCCCUUGAAGCUCUUCCUUUGUCAGAUUUUACAAAUUUUUCAACUCUUCUAUGGCUACUAUCACAUGGUCGAACUUUGGAGCCAACGACCUCAAGAUCUUUCCAACAACAGAUCUUAAUGUCAACACUUCUCCACAUACCUUGAUUUAAUUCACCAGUUUCGUAACCUUGGUGAAGAAAUCAGUUAUGCUUUCAUUGUCUUCCAUCUGAAGCAAUUCAUACGUCCUUUUGUGAGUUUGUAACCUUACCUCUUUCACCUUGUCCCCGCCUCCAAACUACUUCUCCAGAAUUUACCAUGCUUCUUUCGUUGACUCUACAUCACUAACCUUUUCAAAGUUAUUCGAAUCAACACAUUGCUGGAUUAUAAAGAGAGAUUUGUAAUAUUUCUUCUUCAAUUCUUUAUGUGUAGCCCUUUCUUGAUCUGUUGCAUUUUCUGCAAGCGUUGUUACUCUUUUCUUCAUAAGAUCCCAAAGAUCUUGAUAACAUAACACAACCUUUAUCUGCUUGCACCAAUUCUCAUAAUUGUUGUUCUUGAGAAUCAGAAGAUUCGAUGGAAAAUGCCCAUUUGGAUGAUUCAUUGCCAUUGUGAUUUUCUUCCAACAAAUCGCUUAAACCGAAGCUCUUGAUACCAGAUGUUGGAAAUCCACCACAACCUAUGGAGAAUUUCUAUCAAUCUUGAUGAACCAGAUUGUUAUCACCCACACAAUGACAAUGAAAAGAGCAGAACAAUUGAGAAAGAAAAGAAAGAACGAUGGAGAAGAAGAAUAUUUUCAUUAGAGUUUCUCUCUGCCACAACUUGUGGAAAACUUCUUUAUUCACUUUGCAACUACAAAAUUCUAUGAAUACAACAUUGCAAGAAUAAGGGUUACUCCCUCUAUUUAUAGAUUUAGCUUAACUUACUCCUUAAGUCAAAGCCCUAAAUUAUAAAAGCCCAAAAUAAUUAACACUACUAAAAAUAGGCCUAAGUCGAAAUCCUGUGUGAAACAACAUGCUUAGACACUUCGACACACUAGUACAACUUGACACACUAGGUGAUUCGACACUUCUUUGCUUCUGUCGAACAACUUACUUUGACACAAGGAAUUACAAUUCAACAUAUUUUUCUAUAAUUACAAGGUAAGGGUGGAAAUUUGUUUCAAUAAUAGGGAUAUGAAUAGAAGGACAGAGGAAGGUUUAAUUCUUUUUGGAUUGAUGAUGAAUGUUGAUAUUUGUUGAAUGAAAUUUAUGUUUUAAAAUAUUCAUGUAUGCCCACCAUUUAUAAUGUUUGAAGGUUUUAGGAACUGAUAUAAUAUAUAGAUCCAUGAUUAUAUGAAUAUAAGUAGUGAUUGAUAUAUGUAUGUUUAUGACUGAAUUUAAAAUUAUAAAAUAUUUUUGAUGAUGAUUUCAUUGGCGUUUUUGGGGUUGUAGAAGAUGAAAAUCGUGCUGGAAAUUUUAGAAAAAUAAAAACUUUUUGUUAAUGCCUUAGUGCAUGGUUUUGAUCGUAACUUUCAACUCGUAAAUUAUUUGGGACGAGUUUUAUAGUGUUAGGUAGCUGAAACAGAGGGCUAUAACUUUGUUUUAGGGAUAAAAUAUUUUUGGGGAUGAUUUCAUGGACGUUUUUGGGGUUGGAGAAGAUGAAAAUCGUGCUAGAACUUUUAGAAAACAAUAAUAUUUUGGUAAUUUCUUUGUGCACGGUUUUGAUAAUAACUUUGAACUCGUAAAUCAUUUUGGAAAGGGGUUGGAAAUGUUGGGUAGCUGAAACAGAGAGCUGUAACUUUGUUUCAGGGAUAAAAUAUUUUUAAUGAUUUUAUCAGAGGUUGGUAGUAGGUGAGAAACAAGUGUAUGAUGUGACAAAUAUGUAUAAGGUCCAUAUUGACAAAUUAUUUGAUGUGUUAUGAAUGAUUGAGAUGAUGUAUUUGGUUGUAUUGUGCGAUUGAUUGUAGAUCACUAAAUAUUAUUAUAAUUGUUGUGUUAAUUGCAUUAUUACCGUGUCAUACAUUCAUUGUUGAUAUGUUGAAGGAGAUAAGUCUUAGGUCCGAAGGGGGACGAAAGACUUAUCUAAAACUCAGAAGGGAGAGUUCAAGAUUUUGAAGGGGAAUCAGGUUUGCAAGAAUAACCAAAUGUUGAAUUGAUACCACAUGCAUAUGAGUUGUUGUCAUGAGUCGCAUAACAUGAACGUAUUAUAUGUGUGAAAUAUGACUAUGUGUGAUGAUGGUAUUGUUGUAUGUGACGCUGAUGAUAAUUUGGGCGUGAGAAUGUGAUAUGUUAUUAUGCACAAUGGUGUAGAUGUUGUAUUAUAUUUUACAUUCUAUGUUGUUAUUAUUGAAAUGAAUUUUCUCACCCCUUCUGUUUAAAUGUUACCUUUACAUGGUCAUCAUGCAGAUACUCAAGAGUAAAGACGAUGUUGUGAGUGGAAGUUAGCUCACGGAGCUAUUUAUUUUAGUUUAUUCGUGUUAGCUUUGGUUAUGCUCUGAUAUGUAACACUAGGGAGCAAAUUAUUUAUUUUGUGUUGAAAUUUUCUAAGAGACAAUGCAUGCUCUCGUAUUUGUUUUAUGUUUUGGUGUGAUAGUACUUGGAGAAGACUCAUGAGUCAGUGCUUUUAAUUUUGUUAUGAAAACUAUUAUGAGAUUUUAAAUUGGUAUAUUUUUUUUAUUAUGAUUCUACUGCCAAGAUAUUCAAAUGAGUUGGAUAUCAUGUAAACAUCCUAAGUGCAAAUGUAUGUAGUAAAAUAUUUUGUUGUAACAUGUGAUACGAAGCAGAUUAUGAUUAUUGUGAGUGACACCCUAAGUGAUUGUAUUUCGUUAAUUAAAUUCUUUGAUAAUUACACGCGGACUUUUAGGAUGUUACAAUAUCUCAUUUAUUUAAUUUAAUUUAAUUUAAUAAAAAACUGUCAAUUUUUAACAAUUUAAAAAUAAAAAAAAAGAAAAAAAAAGAAAAUGUAUCACCACGAUUACUUUGAACAAUCGUAGUGAAAUCUGGAUAAAUGUUAGAAUAAAAAAAAAGGAAAAAAAAGAAAGACAUCACUAUGAAAAAAGAUGUAAAAUAUAUCACAUCGGUUUGAAUAUUCAACCGUAGUGAAAUCUUGAUUGUAUUUAAUUUAUAUAAAUGAAUAAUAAAAAAAGGCAAUAAAUUCACAAAUUUUUUUGGCAUUGAGAUUGAACUUUACUAAAUAUCACCAUGGUUACUAUGAUCAACCGUGACAAUGUGUUAACUUAUUUUAAUUAAAAAAUAAUUAAAAAAAAUGAUGCCUGAUUUUAGAAAGUUCAUCACGGUCUUUCAAAGAACCAUAAUAAAAUAAACGUCUUGUAAUUGUUAAAAAAAGAAAACAUAUGAUCAUGGUUGAAAUAUUCAAUUAACUUGUAUUUAAUUUAAAAAUAAAUAAAAAAGAAAUGUAUCAUGGUUAAAUUUAAAUAUAUUCAAAUUAAUUAAACUAAAUGAAAACCAAACUGUUUUAAAAUUGUUAUAAUAUAUCGGAUCAAAUCAUUAUAACACUUCCUUAAAUAUUAAAAUCGACAUGCUAUUUAAUUUGAUAGUUUAAUUGUGAGAAACAAAUCAUUAUGAUAUAAUUUUUAUCUAAAAUUUUCAUUAUUAUAUGUGUAAUCAUUAUUGAUAUUUUUUUUAAGAAACUGCGUGGUUUAAAAAAUUCUUUAAGUCGGAUAGGACCUUAAUAAAUGAUAAAACUUAAAUAAGAGAAAAUAUAAAUUUGUAAAAAUAAAUCAUAACAAUUAUCAAUUGAAAAAUGGAUUUGAUUUAUAAAAUAUUAUAGACAUUAAGUAAUGCUUUUAAUUUUAAUUAUCAAAUGCAAAAAAUGCAAAACAAUGACGUUGUAACAACCCGUAUAAUAUAUAUUUAAAAUAAUAUCAUACAAGUGUUAUUAAUUGGUACUGUCACAACAUAAGUGCCUAAUGACAUAAUUAUAUAUAUAUGUCCAUAAUGUAAAAAAAAACAUAUGGCACAUGCCAUACAAUAGUGCCUAGAUAAAAUUCUAAGAACUAUGUACAUUAUCUUCAUUGUACACAACUCCACACUGGAAGAUCACGAUAAUCAGUGUAACACCCUUCUAAAUACCCCAAAUAUUUAAUUAAAACAACAGCAUAUAAAUCAAUAUCAGAGUAAUCAUGCACCAAGGGUGUCACAUAAUACUUCACAUGAUUCACCGUAAAAAUCAGUCAUGCUCUUACUUUAAUUCAACAUAAACACUUCUUUAAAAUAAUUCGCAGCGGAUGAAACAUCAACCUCUGUAAUAUCUUAAAUUAACAUUUAUUCAACAAAUAAAACAUCCCGUCCCGAUGUUACAUCUAUCAGAGCAUGACCCUCUAACCACACUAGACUUCAAGCACUAGCUUUAUUGCGACUCACUGCUCGUUACUCCUGAAAAAUAUGGCUGUAAGGGUAGUUCCUCAAUCGAUAUAAACAAUAUUAUAAUUUAUCAUGUUAUGUUAAGUAAUUCAUACGUUAAAUCACCCUAAUUAUAUCCUGCAGUCAUUUACGGAAUAAUCAACUAAAAUAUCGUGCUCAAUCACAACGUCAAUACAGCUUCAUAACAACAUACAAUGCAACUCAAAACAACAUAAAAUGCAACUCAAUGAGACUCGACUCUUCAUGCAUGUGGUACCCUUUUGGAGUAAAACCCCCAACUUAAAAUCACUGCCAGUUUAGUGGGCAUCAAGCAUAAGCUUCAACUUUCAACUUAAAAUUUUGCCAAUCCAGGCCAACGUGGUGUGAGCAAAAGCCCCAUAAUUUUGCCAAUCCAGGCCAACGUGGUGUGAGACGAAAGCUCCGACUUAAUGCAUAUGAAUGUUAUGGCAUGUACGACUUGCAACCUUAACAACAUAAGGCAACAGCAACACAACAGCUUUUUCACACACAACAACUUAAAAUCAACGUUGGCUCAUCAGCCUACUACUCAGUAUUUUAACGAAACAACUUAUAUUCAACUUUGGCUCAUCAGCCUACAACAAGGUUUUCAAAAAACAACUUAUCACAUAUUUGCAUCAACAUUCUACAACAUAAAACCCACAAAUAUUAUCCCUACGAUUAACUACAAUGGUUCAAUCACCAAUCACAUUUACAAACAUAAAAAGAUUAACUAUUUUCCACUCUGCAAAGACUCUGCUCAACUGGAGGGAGUCGGCACAAAGGCCCCUUGCGUCGACGCAUGGGGUCGACGCUUCACUCACGGGUCGGCGCCAAAAUGCCUUGCGUCGACGCAUGCAGUCGGCGCAUACCACGGGUCAGCGCACGCCGACCCUAUGGUCGACGCGUCGCAGCGCAGACUCAGUUUUUCUGAGUUAUUCCAAAGUUCUGUUAGC